GAACGCUGGCGGCAGGCCUAACACAUGCAAGUCGAACGGUAACAGGAAGCAGCUUGCUGCUUCGCUGACGAGUGGCGGACGGGUGAGUAAUGUCUGGGAAACUGCCUGAUGAGGGGGAUAACUACUGGAAACGGUAGCUAAUACCGCAUAACGUCGUAAGACCAAAGAGGGGGACCUUCGGGCCUCUUGCCAUCAGAUGUGCCCAGAUGGGAUUAGCUAGUUGGUGGGGUAACGGCUCACCAAGGCGACGAUCCCUAGCUGGUCUGAGAGGAUGACCAGCCACACUGGAACUGAGACACGGUCCAGACUCCUACGGGAGGCAGCAGUGGGGAAUAUUGCACAAUGGGCGCAAGCCUGAUGCAGCCAUGCCGCGUGUAUGAAGAAGGCCUUCGGGUUGUAAAGUACUUUCAGCGGGGAGGAAGGUGUUGUGGUUAAUAACCGCAGCAAUUGACGUUACCCGCAGAAGAAGCACCGGCUAACUCCGUGCCAGCCGCCGC
rnacentral:rRNA from 1 species